rnacentral:rRNA from 1 species
CCUACGGGAGGCAGCAGUGGGGAAUAUUGCACAAUGGGGGAAACCCUGAUGCAGCGACGCCGCGUGAGUGAGGAAGUAUUUCGGUAUGUAAAGCUCUAUCAGCAGGGAAGAAAAUGACGGUACCUGACUAAGAAGCCCCGGUUAACUACGUGCCAGCAGCCGCGGUAAUACGUAGGGGGCAAGCGUUAUCCGGAUUUACUGGGUGUAAAGGGAGCGUAGACGGUUAAUCAAGUCAGAAGUGAAAACCCAGGGCUCAACCUUGGGACUGCUUUUGAAACGGAGUAGCUAGGGUGCAGGAGGGGUAAGCGGAAUUCCGAGGGUAGCGGUGAAAUGCGUAGAUAUUAGGAGGAACACCAGUGGUGAAGGCGGCUUACUGGACUGUAACUGACGUUGAGGCUCGAAAGCGUGGGGAGCAAACAGGAUUAGAUACCCUUGUAGUC